rnacentral:rRNA from 1 species
UACGGAGGAUCCAAGCGUUAUCCGGAAUCAUUGGGUUUAAAGGGUCCGUAGGCGGUUUGGUAAGUCAGUGGUGAAAGCCCAUCGCUCAACGGUGGAACGGCCAUUGAUACUGCUAGACUUGAAUUGUUAGGAAGUAACUAGAAUAUGUAGUGUAGCGGUGAAAUGCUUAGAGAUUACAUGGAAUACCAAUUGCGAAGGCAGGUUACUACUAAUGGAUUGACGCUGAUGGACGAAAGCGUGGGUAGCGAACAGG